rnacentral:tRNA from 1 species
GGACCGAUGGUCUAGACUGGUUAUGACAUCGCCUUGACGUGGCGGGAAUCGCCGGUUCAAAUCCGGCUCGGUCCA